GACUUCAAGUGAUCCACCUGCCUUGGCCUCCCAAAGUGCUACAAUUACAGACAUGAGCCACGGCUUGACCUCAGCCAUUUUUAUUCUUUCAGAAAUGUGAUUGAUAACAGUAAAGCCGCACUCCUCACGUGCCUGAAAUAUCCCUCAUUGUCUUCUUCAGGUGGCAAGGGCUCUGGAACAGCCACAUAAAGUUCCUCACUCUGGCCAUGGACAUUUCCAUGUGAAAAUACACAUAGUGCAUCUUGCAGUCACAAGAUGCAAAGCCAUGGACAGAAAUGAGGCCACGUGCAGACGGGCCAGUUGAAAAGAUGAAAGAAGGAAAGAAUGACAGGCUCCAGAAGGCAACACUGAUUGACCGAAAGGAUGAGAAGCCGCAGUCAGUCAGGAGGUGAUUCUGACUAAGGGUAAGUGGGGUGGUGAUGGCGCACCAUUUUGAGUACACUCAAUGCUGCUGGGUGGUUCCCACUCCUUUAGUUAAUUUUGUAUUAUGCAAAUCUCACCUCAACAAUUACUUCUUUCAAAAAGAGAAAUCAAGGCUCUGAGAAACAACUACAACCCUUAACUUAUUAUUA